UACGGAGGGUGCGAGCGUUGUCCGGAAUCAUUGGGCGUAAAGAGCGUGUAGGCGGCCCGAUAAGUCCGCUGUGAAAGUCCAGGGCUCAACCCUGGAAUGCCGGUGGAUACUGUCAGGCUAGAGUCCGGAAGGGGCGAGUGGAAUUCCUGGUGUAGCGGUGAAAUGCGCAGAUAUCAGGAGGAACACCAAUGGCGAAGGCAGCUCGCUGGGACGGUACUGACGCUGAGACGCGAAAGCGUGGGGAGCAAACAGG
rnacentral:rRNA from 1 species